rnacentral:lncRNA from 1 species
UAGAAAACUCUUGGCACAAUUGCUUUAUGACAUUGUAUUUUGUUGAAAGAUGAAGGAGAGAGUGAAGUGACUAUCUGGGGACCCUGAGGAAGUCCCUAAGAUUCUGUUGACAAAGGAAUCUGAGUGCAGGAAGCACGUGGCUUGCCUACCCAGCUCAAGUCUUAUGAAGAGUACAGGUGUUGACAGUUUCUGAAGACAGAGCAGAGGAGGCUCUGGACCUGAUGUCUAUUUGAUGGCAGAAGAGAAUGAUAUUUAAUUUUUCUCAUUUUCACACUGAUCACAAAACACACACGCAAUUCAUGAAACUGAAGGCAGAGAAGAACUUCCAAAAGCACUGGGCUGAAGAGAUACCAUGGAUAAAGAUGUGAUGCAUGGACAUCAGCUAAUGUGCAGGAAUGUAGAUAGCCAAAUGCAUGUGGCCAUCCCAAGACCUAUGUGUUCUUGGAAGAUUUUGCCAAUGUUUCCCCCCAAUUUUGCUGCAGCACGAAACAUUUCUGAAGUUCAACUUCAGGGAUUAUAUUGAGGAUCACUUUACACGUCACAUAAGAAAAUAACUUUCUUCUUCAGCUUAGGAGUCAAUUGUGAUAUUGAUAGGAUUUUUAGCACCUCUCUUGGUACAAAAGAGGAAGGAGAAUUAAGCCUAUAGUGCAGGCAAAUAAAUGAUUGCAAUAAGGAAAUCCGUGGACCAACCAGAAUGUGGGCUUCCUCAGUGACUACAGAAAUUACCAGGAAAAUGGAAGAGAAAUGGGCCCAGGUAAUGACAGUGCUUUCAAGCUGUCCCAGUCAAUAAAAAUGCUUGAUAAAUGGUUUCUCAGCCUUGCCAUUGGGAAAAGGAGAGAAGGAACUACUCUGGCUGUUACUCCCUACACCUUCCUUAUCCCCAGUACUGUGGCCCAUGCCUCAAGUUCUGUGGACAAUAAGAAACAAACAGCAACAAAACAUAUCAACUCGAGCUUUUGGACGUGAGGGCCAGAUAUAUGGUUGAAGCCUGGAA